AUUGAACGCUGGCGGCAUGCCUUACACAUGCAAGUCGAACGGCAGCACGGGUACUUGUACCUGGUGGCGAGUGGCGAACGGGUGAGUAAUACAUCGGAACGUACCUUAUCGUGGGGGAUAACGCAGCGAAAGCUGUGCUAAUACCGCAUACGCCCUUAGGGGGAAAGCGGGGGAUCGCAAGACCUCGCGCGAUUAGAGCGGCCGAUGCCUGAUUAGCUUGUUGGUGGGGUAAAAGCCCACCAAGGCGACGAUCAGUAGCUGGUCUGAGAGGACGAUCAGCCACACUGGGACUGAGACACGGCCCAGACUCCUACGGGAGGCAGCAGUGGGGAAUUUUGGACAAUGGGGGAAACCCUGAUCCAGCAAUGCCGCGUGAGUGAAGAAGGCCUUCGGGUUGUAAAGCUCUUUUGUCAGGGAAGAAACACCGGCUCUAACACAGUCCGGGAAUGACGGUACCUGAAGAAUAAGCACCGGCUAACUACGUGCCAGCAGCCGCGGUAAUACGUAGGGUGCAAGCGUUAAUCGGAAUUACUGGGCGUAAAGCGUGCGCAGGCGGUUAUACAAGACAGGCGUGAAAUCCCCGGGCUUAACCUGGGAAUGGCGCCUGUGACUGUAUAGCUAGAGUGUGUCAGAGGGGGGUAGAAUUCCACGUGUAGCAGUGAAAUGCGUAGAUAUGU
rnacentral:rRNA from 1 species